rnacentral:rRNA from 1 species
GGGUUGUGAGGUUAAGCGACUAAGCGUACACGGUGGAUGCCCUGGCAGUCAGAGGCGAUGAAGGACGUGCUAAUCUGCGAUAAGCGUCGGUGAGGUGAUAUGAACCGUUAUAACCGGCGAUUUCCGAAUGGGGAAACCCAGUGUGUUUCGACACACUAUCAUUAACUGAAUCCAUAGGUUAAUGAGGCGAACCGGGGGAACUGAAACAUCUAAGUACCCCGAGGAAAAGAAAUCAACCGAGAUUCCCCCAGUAGCGGCGAGCGAACGGGGAGGAGCCCAGAGCCUGAAUCAGUGUGUGUGUUAGUGGAAGCGUCUGGAAAGGCGCGCGAUACAGGGUGACAGCCCCGUACACAAAAAUGCACAUAUUGUGAGCUCGAUGAGUAGGGCGGGACACGUGGUAUCCUGUCUGAAUAUGGGGGGACCAUCCUCCAAGGCUAAAUACUCCUGACUGACCGAUAGUGAACCAGUACCGUGAGGGAAAGGCGAAAAGAACCCCGGCGAGGGGAGUGAAAAAGAACCUGAAACCGUGUACGUACAAGCAGUGGGAGCCUCUUAAUGGGGUGACUGCGUACCUUUUGUAUAAUGGGUCAGCGACUUAUAUUCUGUAGCAAGGUUAACCGAAUAGGGGAGCCGAAGGGAAACCGAGUCUUAACUGGGCGUUAAGUUGCAGGGUAUAGACCCGAAACCCGGUGAUCUAGCCAUGGGCAGGUUGAAGGUUGGGUAACACUAACUGGAGGACCGAACCGACUAAUGUUGAAAAAUUAGCGGAUGACUUGUGGCUGGGGGUGAAAGGCCAAUCAAACCGGGAGAUAGCUGGUUCUCCCCGAAAGCUAUUUAGGUAGCGCCUCGUGAAUUCAUCUCCGGGGGUAGAGCACUGUUUCGGCAAGGGGGUCAUCCCGACUUACCAACCCGAUGCAAACUGCGAAUACCGGAGAAUGUUAUCACGGGAGACACACGGCGGGUGCUAACGUCCGUCGUGAAGAGGGAAACAACCCAGACCGCCAGCUAAGGUCCCAAAGUCAUGGUUAAGUGGGAAACGAUGUGGGAAGGCCCAGACAGCCAGGAUGUUGGCUUAGAAGCAGCCAUCAUUUAAAGAAAGCGUAAUAGCUCACUGGUCGAGUCGGCCUGCGCGGAAGAUGUAACGGGGCUAAACCAUGCACCGAAGCUGCGGCAGCGACACUAUGUGUUGUUGGGUAGGGGAGCGUUCUGUAAGCCUGUGAAGGUGGCCUGUGAGGGGUGCUGGAGGUAUCAGAAGUGCGAAUGCUGACAUAAGUAACGAUAAAGCGGGUGAAAAGCCCGCUCGCCGGAAGACCAAGGGUUCCUGUCCAACGUUAAUCGGGGCAGGGUGAGUCGACUCCUAAGGCGAGGCCGAAAGGCGUAGUCGAUGGGAAACAGGUUAAUAUUCCUGUACUUGGUGUUACUGCGAAGGGGGGACGGAGAAGGCUAUGUUGGCCGGGCGACGGUUGUCCCGGUUUAAGCGUGUAGGCUGGUUUUCCAGGCAAAUCCGGAAAACCAAGGCUGAGGCGUGAUGACGAGGCACUACGGUGCUGAAGUGACAAAUGCCCUGCUUCCAGGAAAAGCCUCUAAGCAUCAGGUAACAUCAAAUCGUACCCCAAACCGACACAGGUGGUCAGGUAGAGAAUACCAAGGCGCUUGAGAGAACUCGGGUGAAGGAACUAGGCAAAAUGGUGCCGUAACUUCGGGAGAAGGCACGCUGAUAUGUAGGUGAAGCGACUUGCUCGUGGAGCUGAAAUCAGUCGAAGAUACCAGCUGGCUGCAACUGUUUAUUAAAAACACAGCACUGUGCAAACACGAAAGUGGACGUAUACGGUGUGACGCCUGCCCGGUGCCGGAAGGUUAAUUGAUGGGGUUAGCGGUAACGCGAAGCUCUUGAUCGAAGCCCCGGUAAACGGCGGCCGUAACUAUAACGGUCCUAAGGUAGCGAAAUUCCUUGUCGGGUAAGUUCCGACCUGCACGAAUGGCGUAAUGAUGGCCAGGCUGUCUCCACCCGAGACUCAGUGAAAUUGAACUCGCUGUGAAGAUGCAGUGUACCCGCGGCAAGACGGAAAGACCCCGUGAACCUUUACUAUAGCUUGACACUGAACAUUGAGCCUUGAUGUGUAGGAUAGGUGGGAGGCUUUGAAGUGUGGACGCCAGUCUGCAUGGAGCCGACCUUGAAAUACCACCCUUUAAUGUUUGAUGUUCUAACGUUGGCCCGUAAUCCGGGUUGCGGACAGUGUCUGGUGGGUAGUUUGACUGGGGCGGUCUCCUCCUAAAGAGUAACGGAGGAGCACGAAGGUUGGCUAAUCCUGGUCGGACAUCAGGAGGUUAGUGCAAUGGCAUAAGCCAGCUUGACUGCGAGCGUGACGGCGCGAGCAGGUGCGAAAGCAGGUCAUAGUGAUCCGGUGGUUCUGAAUGGAAGGGCCAUCGCUCAACGGAUAAAAGGUACUCCGGGGAUAACAGGCUGAUACCGCCCAAGAGUUCAUAUCGACGGCGGUGUUUGGCACCUCGAUGUCGGCUCAUCACAUCCUGGGGCUGAAGUAGGUCCCAAGGGUAUGGCUGUUCGCCAUUUAAAGUGGUACGCGAGCUGGGUUUAGAACGUCGUGAGACAGUUCGGUCCCUAUCUGCCGUGGGCGCUGGAGAACUGAGGGGGGCUGCUCCUAGUACGAGAGGACCGGAGUGGACGCAUCACUGGUGUUCGGGUUGUCAUGCCAAUGGCACUGCCCGGUAGCUAAAUGCGGAAGAGAUAAGUGCUGAAAGCAUCUAAGCACGAAACUUGC